rnacentral:rRNA from 1 species
AUUCGCCUUCAUGAAGCCGGAAUUGCUAGUAAUGGCAGGUCAGCAUACUGCCGUGAAUACGUUCCCGGGCCUUGUACACACCGCCCGUCACACCAUGAGAGUUGGGAAUACCCGAAGCCUGUGAGCUAACUUAUAGAGGCAGCAGUCGAAGGUAGAAUCAAUGAUUGGGUGAAGUCGUAACAAGGUACC